rnacentral:rRNA from 1 species
UGGGAGCUUGCUCCCUGAUGUUAGCGGCGGACGGGUGAGUAACACGUGGGUAACCUGCCUGUAAGACUGGGAUAACUCCGGGAAACCGGGGCUAAUACCGGAUGGUUGUUUGAACCGCAUGGUUCAGACAUAAAAGGUGGCUUCGGCUACCACUUACAGAUGGACCCGCGGCGCAUUAGCUAGUUGGUGAGGUAACGGCUCACCAAGGCAACGAUGCGUAGCCGACCUGAGAGGGUGAUCGGCCACACUGGGACUGAGACACGGCCCAGACUCCUACGGGAGGCAGCAGUAGGGAAUCUUCCGCAAUGGACGAAAGUCUGACGGAGCAACGCCGCGUGAGUGAUGAAGGUUUUCGGAUCGUAAAGCUCUGUUGUUAGGGAAGAACAAGUGCCGUUCAAAUAGGGCGGCACCUUGACGGUACCUAACCAGAAAGCCACGGCUAACUACGUGCCAGCAGCCGCGGUAAUACGUAGGUGGCAAGCGUUGUCCGGAAUUAUUGGGCGUAAAGGGCUCGCAGGCGGUUUCUUAAGUCUGAUGUGAAAGCCCCCGGCUCAACCGGGGAGGGUCAUUGGAAACUGGGGAACUUGAGUGCAGAAGAGGAGAGUGGAAUUCCACGUGUAGCGGUGAAAUGCGUAG